GUGCCAGCAGCCGCGGUAUAAGGAAGAACCAGCGUUAUCCGGAAUCAUUGGGUUUAAAGGGUCCGUAGGCGGGAUAAUAAGUCAGUGGUGAAAGUCUGCAGCUUAACUGUAGAAUUGCCAUUGAUACUGUUGUUCUUGAAUUAUUAUGAAGUGGUUGGAAUGAGUAGUGUAGCGGUGAAAUGCAUAGAUAUUACUCAGAACACCUAUUGCGAAGGCAGAUCACUAAUAAUAUAUUGACGCUGAUGGACGAAAGCGUAGGUAGCGAACAGGAUUAGAUACCCUGGUAGUCUACGCCGUAAACGAUGGUUACUAGCUGUCCGGCCUAAUUGAGGGCUGGGUGGUUAAGCGAAAGUGAUAAGUAACCCACCUGGGGAGUACGUUCGCAAGAAUGAAACUCAAAGGAAUUGACGGGGGCCCGCACAAGCGGUGGAGCAUGUGGUU
rnacentral:rRNA from 1 species